UGCAGGCGGCGGCGCAGGGACCCCGGGCCGCGGGGCAGUGGAGACCUGUCCAGGGCCAAUGCGGGCGCUGGGAACAGUGCCACGUGCUGACCAGAGCUGGCAGCACCCGGGACCCCGGGGAGGUCCUGCCGCAGCCUCGAGACCGCGGAAGUGGCGGCCGAGCCAGCUUUGCACCUGGGGACCCUCCCGCGCGGUCCUCCUCCCGGAGAGCCUCGGGGCCCAGCCACGCCCAGGCCCUCGGAGGGUCUCAGGGGAAACAGGAUCACCUUUCUUCUGUCCUGAGCACCACCCACCAUGGGAAGGAAGUCAUCCAGACUUGGGGAUGGCACCAGAAGAUCUCAGAAAUGACCCUCUCCUAAAUUAACAAGUGAAUUACAGCUCAGACCUAGAACACGUGGAAGGUGGCCUUUGAAUCACCUCUUUAAAAGCCCCCUUGUUCCUGCUCAUGGGCAGAAUCCCAGCCUCUGGGACAGCAGUCCCCUGUGUUUCUCCUUUGCUAGCAAAGCAGUAAACCUUGUUUUUUCCUUUUUGUCAAAA